rnacentral:rRNA from 1 species
GGGUGAUCGGCCACACUGGACUGAGACACGGCCCAGACUCCUACGGGAGGCAGCAGUAGGGAAUCUUCGGCAAUGGACGAAAGUCUGACCGAGCAACGCCGCGUGAGUGAAGAAGGUUUCGGAUCGUAAAACUCUGUUGUUAGAGAAGAACAAGGAUGAGAGUAAAAUGUUCAUCCCUUGACGGUAUCUAACCAGAAGCCACGGCUAACUACGUGCCAGCAGCCGCGGUAAUACGUAGGUGGCAAGCGUUGUCCGGAUUUAUUGGGCGUAAAGCGAGCGCAGGCGGUCUUAAGUCUGAUGUGAAAGCCCCCGGCUCAACCGGGGAGGGUCAUUGGAAACUGGGAGACUUGAGUGCAGAGAGGAGAGUGGAAUUCCAUGUGUAGCGGUGAAAUGCGUAGAUAUAUGGAGGAACACCAGUGGCGAAGGCGGCUCUCUGGUCUGUAACUGACGCUGAGGCUCGAAAGCGUGGGAGCGAACAGGAUUAGAUACCCUGGUAGUCCACGCCGUAAACGAUGAGUGCUAAGUGUUGGAGGGUUCCGCCCUUCAGUGCUGCAGCAAACGCAUUAAGCACUCCGCCUGGGGAGUACGACCGCAAGGUUGAAACUCAAAGGAAUUGACGCCCGCACAAGCGGUGGAGCAUGUGGUUUAAUUCGAAGCAACGCGAAGAACCUUACCAGGUCUUGACAUCCUUUGACCACUCUAGAGAUAGAGCUUCCUUCGGGGGCAAAGUGACAGGUGGUGCAUGGUUGUCGUCAGCUCGUGUCGUGGAUGUUGGGUUAAGUCCCGCAACGAGCGCAACCCUUAUUGUUAGUUGCCAUCAUUUAGUUGGGCACUCUAGCGAGACUGCCGGUGACAAACCGGAGGAAGGUGGGGAUGACGUCAAAUCAUCAUGCCCCUUAUGACCUGGGCUACACACGUGCUACAAUGGGA